UCGCUCUCCCGCAGCUUCUGAAUCUUUCCCGCUCAAAGUAAACCUGUUCGGGAUUGGCUCUGAUUGGCAAGCAACAGCUCUAUGAUUGGCUAAUAGGGCGGCGGAGGGGCGGGGCGUGGAAGAUAAGGAAAGAGAGCAGGCCUACCCCGUGGGAGAAGCGGUGGAGGUGGUGGGAAGAUUUGAGAAGUCACUCAGCAACUGGCUGAUAAUCUAAACCUAUCGCUGCGCACCUUGUGCCAACAUUUCAUUUUUGGCCCUUGGGCCCUUCCCUAACUCCCAGAGUCCUUUGGAACAGCCAAGAGAAUAAUAGACGUGCCCGUUUACAGAAGAACUGCACAAGGAACUAUGGACCCAGCAAAAGGAACAGAGAGAUGCUCAGUAGCUUCUUUCUCCAAAUGCGGGGCCUUCCUUCUUAAGGAUGAGAGAACGUCAGAUUGAUAGCUCCACCAAACUGAGAGGUGUGAGGAAGAUGAACAAAGAGCAGGUACCUGGACACUUGUCUGCGUUCAGGGGUGUUAUUUGCUCAACGAGUGGCCGGUUGAAACUUCCUCAGAUUAGAUGUCAGCUAAACAUAAAUGCAUCUAUGAGCAGUACUAUUUAGAUGAAAGUGGGGAAGAAAAAGAUGUUAGGAUCGGUGUUCUUUUCUACAUGGGAAACCUCUGAACCGUUUCUCAACACCCCCUUUUUUUGCAGUCCCAGAGCACUUGACCCUGUGAUGCACUUAACCCUGUUACAGUUUAGCUGCUCCUUUACUUGCUUUCUCCAUAAGGCUAUAUAUGAAUCAGCUUAGGGCUGGCAUCUUUGUUCAUCUUUGUAUCUGUCCUCUGAAUAAAGAUGGAAUCAAGACAUGGGAAUUUUGAAUGAAUAUCUUCCUGCCCUCCAAUACCCAAGCAUGGCGUCUGUAUGAAGGCCCGCAUCAUUCUCUAGUAGCUGAGCUAACAGGACCUCUACCUCU